CGAUGAGGUGGGGGCGGGCGGCUGGCUUGCCCCUUCGAGCACCCCAUUCGUCCUCUCCUCCCUUGUCUUCUCCACUCGACGCCGGCUCGCCUCCCCUUCGAUUUGCCGUCGUUCUCAGUUGUGUCGGUCGCGUCGCGUGGGAGUCGAUUUGCGGAUUGACGGAAGAGAGAGCACGGCGGAGGGCUUCUGAGAUGGCUGAGGGAUCUGUCUAGGGUUUGUGUGUCGAUCUAUUCUGCCUGGGGUCUUCUUGUCCUCUUGGGUUUUCCGACGCUGAGAUGGCUGAGGGCUCCGUCUAGGGUUUGAUUGCUGAUUCGUCGUGAUUGAGAUAUGUAUGUCGUGUGACAUGAUGGUUGAGCCCUACAAUGUCACUCUCUCGGUUCACCAGCUGGUGGGUAAUGCCGAGGAGUGCAUGGUGCUGGGCAACAGGGCCCUCACCUGUUUCCGCACCCUCAAGCUGACCACACCUAGCUUGUCGGCGGGAUGGUGCAAGGCGCAACUCCGACGUGGUUCCUCGCCGGUUGGAUGGCAUUCAGGUGCAACCCCGGUGCCCACUGAGUACUGCCUUGGUUACAACCUCCCUCAGUAAGCUCCAUCUUCCCCUGCUCUGCUUCGGCUACUAUAUGGGACAUGGCCAGGGCUAUGAUGAUCAUCCAGAAACAUGAGACGGAUCGAAACCUGAGCGUUCUCAGCGAUUUGGCACAUCCGGCUGUCCAUUUCGUUUGCUUGAUGUGAUUCCGACCGUCGGAUCAAGCCGUUGGAAGACCUCGUCCGUCGGAUCGAAUCCUGCCCCCCUAUAGCAUGGAUAAAUGAGCAGUUACCUCCCGGUAGUGCCACCGCACGUAAAACUGGGUGGCCGCUGGGGGCAUUUUGGUCAUUUCACAUGGGUGAAAAAAAUCCAAUCAUGGCAUAUGGGUGUGACCUGCCCGUCGCUCCUCGCACACAUAUGGGCGAUGAUGAUUAGCCGUGGCUGAAAUAAGUGUGCCUUUGAGCAAUCAAGGCACCUGUGGGUAUCAAGUUGGAUCCUCCCUCUCGUCUCUAGAAUCCUUUUUGGUCCUGUGAUACUUAUUGUUCUGUCCUUAGAUGGUCAUUCUUGUUGAGUGAUAACCAGGGCAGUUUCACUGUAUAAACAGAUUGGUCUGGUGAUAAGAGAUGAUGGGGGUAGAUUAUAUGAUCUAGGAAAGGCAAGUUUGAGCCCACUAUGCAUUGAACACUGAAUCCUUUUUAUUUGUAUUUAAAGGUGUUGCUUAUUUAUGCUCCAGUGUUUAUAGCCGUCUUAUGUAAAGAUUUCUUCUCUCUCAUACCUUUAUUUCAUAUAAGUUGUUCUUGAUCUUUUACUGUUUUUUGUUGGUCCUUGAUCUAAUGUGGUUAAGAUAAACUGUGGGAAAUAGUUCUGGAUUUGUUGUAUGGUAGUUUGCAACUGAAUUUGUGACUAUUUCGGAUACUGGCCCCAAUUAAGGUUAUCUUGAAAUCGUGGAUGCACACGUGGUUUGUGUUCUUUUAUCAUGGGGUAUCUGUUCUUUUGCACAUUGGUAGAAAGUUGGUUAUUGUCAGGUAAGUCCAUCUCCAUUAAUGCCCUCCCACAUAUUUCCUUUAUGAUGCUGGAUGUUAUUUGUUUCUGUGAGCACAUUUGACGUAGACCCAAAACCUACUACUAAAUGGUUCCAAUAAAUAAUGCAUAUGGACAUAGAACUCUUGAUCAACAUUUGUGAGAAGACUAAAAAGUGACCUAAUACUGUAUGCAAAUCACAGUCAUGCCAAUUUCAGUAUUGUCUAAAUUAAUCACGGUGAAACUACAUCUGCUGUUCUAGAUUCAAGUUGAGUCUUGACCUCUAUAAUUAUGUACUUGCUUUUCCUCUCCAUAAGUUUCUAGCAUUCUGAAUGUAUCCUAUUGGCACAUAAUUACAUCAAUUUUCCUUGCAAAUCAACUUAGAAAUCCAUUGCCCCCUCUACAAAAUCAACUUUCAAUGGAUCAUGCCCAUGCAUAACUUCAGUUUUGGCUGGAUUUUGGACCUGACAAACAUUAGUUGUAUAUGUGUAUUUAGGUAAAGAAAAGACAUGGUAUUCAAACUAUUCUGGUUUCUCUAUUAAAUCAAAGAUGACAACGACAUCGACAAACCUCUGUAUGCUCUGUACAUUUCCUCCUUUCGGGACAUCAAAGGAGGGUUCAAUUUGAGGUUUUCUUUUGGGGCUGAUUAUUUUUUGCUUAAUUUCAUCUUUGCCUCAAAAUGUUACUCUGUGAAUGAUACAUGCUAGAACCUGCCUGGGAAUGGAUAUAACAUAACAUUUUGCCUUUAGGGAAAUCUGUUUCACAUAUGUACAAGAACAUUGUUUUCCCUGAGGUCUAGGAUGUGGUGCUUGUGAAACACCCGUCGCUGUUGGUUCUAGGAUCAGUAUUGGCCUUCGCUUUUUGUGUCAUGUUUAUUUAGCUCUUGGUUGCUGGCGAAUGUAAUUGGAUACUUGACUAUCUUAUUUAGUCUGCCUGCUAUGGAUGUUGUUCCUCUAUGUUCAUGCCUUUAUUACUUCCUGCCUUGUAUUCACGCUUGUGAUGUCGAACUUCAUGUCAAGUAGCUGCGAUUUUAGUGUCAAACUUCAUGACAAGUGACAAUCUUUUGUGGUAUUAUAAAUGAUCUGAAAUCGAAGGUGAGCCUUGGCGCAGUGGUAAAGCUGCUGCCUUGUGACCAUGAGGUCAUGGGUUCAAGUCCUGGAAACAGCCUCUUACAGAAAUGUAGGGAAAGGCUGCGUACUAUAGACCCAAAGUGGUCGGACCCUUCCCUGGACCCUGCGCAAGCGGGAGCUACAUGCACCAGGUUGCCCUUUUUUUUUUAUAAAUGAUCUGAAAUCAAUUCUGCUUUCUAAUCUGUUACCAUCUUUGGGCAUCAAUAUAUCUUGCUCCUACAGUAGUUAAUUGUUUUUCCUUAGCUUUGUUGUUAUUCUAUUUGAAUGCAUAUGCUAGAUCUGGGCUACCACUAAUUUAUCAUUACAUGUUUGACCAAACGUUGGGACUGGCACCCCGCGCCAAGGCGCGAUCCCAAUGUGCUCACAGAAAUCCAUUUAAAUGGGAAAACACCUUGCGGCUUGGAUGUUUAUAGUGAGAUGUCAAGAAAUCUAGCUUCUAGAUUAUUAUAUACAUGUUUCCUAUUUUAUUCUAUUUGCGUAACACAAUAGGCAAGGAAUCUUUUAGUUCUUUGCAUCAACAUGUCUGUACCAUGUACUCCCUCAGUUCGAAAUUACUCGUCCAAGAAAUGAAUGUAUCUAGAUGUAUUUUAGUUCUAGAUACAUCCAUUUUUGUGACAAGUAAUUCCGAACGGAGGGAGUAUUUGAUUUUGUCUUGGUACACACAUGACUUGAUCAUGUGAAUGAUCAACACCAGUCACAUUAUGGUAGUUCUUUUACAAGUAACAGAAAUUAAUUAAUCCCUCCUCCUACUGUAUAGAGGUUGCCUCUACAAGCAACAGAAAUUAGCGAAUGCCUCCUCCUACUGUAUAGAGGUUGCCUUAACAUAUUCCCUCCUUAGUUUUCAGUGUCCUACUGUUACGGUUUAAUUUCCUUGGAGUUUCUUUGUGAUAGUCUAAUGGGCAGUCACUGUUUCUUCUAUGCAUGAAAGCACAAAUUGUGAAGGAAAUAAAAUGCAUGUGUGUGUGUGCGUGUGCGUGCAUGCGCACAUGUGUGUGUAUGUUCUGUUUACUCUCUUUUUUUCCCCUUUGAUUUCUCCACCAAACUGUUGGGUUCACUUGAAGGCAAGGAUGUUAUUGAUUUACUACAGCAGGAAUUUUUAUAGAAAAUAUAUAGUUUUUCUUAAUGACGAGGGCCCACCCUUAGAUUUCUGUUAUCAUAAAUAGGUGUCCUAUAGGAGAUACAAAGUAUAUAGCGUUUUUUUAGUUUUCGCUUUCUGUCUUUCAUUUUCAGUUGGUCUAUUAGUGUGGUGCUUAUUGUACUUCUUUUGGAAAGAAGGCCAGUAAGAAGAUGGCACCAUCCAUCUCAGUGCCAUUGAUUUUUUGUUUGGGUAAUUAAAAAUUCAGUAUACAUAGAGUAUUUUCUGUUUUUUGCCACUGAAAUCCAUGGUACUAAGCUAUUUGCUUAAUCUAUUAACAUCCAACAUACUUCAUAGGUUAGGCAAAUGCAACCUAUGCCUCAGCUAAUUGAUAUAUUAAACCUCCCUACCAUAAUCAGAACUGGCAUGAUGCAAAACUCACAUGCUGUAACCUGUUACAAAGGGGGGGGGGUAUAAUUUUGUUAUUUUGUACAUUUUGUUCUUUGGUUUUGAUCUAAAGGACCAAGUGGCACCUAGCUUUUCAUCGAUCUCUCUGUCAUUGUUCAUUAUCUAGAACCAUGCAUGAUAUUGCAUCUGGGCACUUAAAUCUCGGUUUUAGUUUUGUAGGUUGUGCAUAUCCAAGAUGGAAAUCAUCUUGCUCUAUCAUUUGGUGGGCUCAAUCCCGGCAGCAAUUUUUUGGUUGCUCUAUUAUGGGGCUGUUUUGAUUGAUACCAGACGCUAGAUUAUUGAAUCACUACUUUAGACAUGCACUUUGUGCCAUUUUGUGGUAAUGACUAAAUAUGUCUUGUUUGCCAUACUUUUGGUAUAUAUAUGCUGCCUUGCCCUUUGGCAAUGCUGUGUUUUGGUGUAAAUUUAUUGUCCUGGUCUAAUCCAUUCUGAGCAAUCACUUUAUUUCCCUUUGGAUGUGGAGCAACACUUGAUGUGGAGCUGCGCCGGAGCAGCGGAGCGGUGGAUCUGCGGCGGCGCCGUCGUCCUCAAGUUGUCAUCAUCCUCAUGAUUCCACGCUUGCUUCUCUUCUCUUCUCUGCUUAACAGUAGCAGUGCAGCUCUAGAGAAGUACUCCAUUAACAGUAGCGGAGAAGGAGCAGCCGCCAUGGAGUACUCCAGGAGUGGGUCAUGCCCAAAGGGACCACGCCCAGGAGAUGGUCGUGGGUCAAACUGCUGCGCCAUGGGGCUGGUGCUUGUGAUGUGCGACGGGGAGAAGCAGAGAUCUGGGAACGCAUGAAUGAUGGAUGCGCGAAGGAUGAGCGCUUGGGACCUAGAUAAUGGAUGUGUGGAUGAUGGAUUCUCCUGGGACCUGGGAGCGAUGGAGGAUGGGCGCCUGGGAGCGACGAGGAGAAGCAAUUUGAAAUACCGGGAUCAACGGAGGAAGAUGACUUUGGGGAUAGUGAUUCAAAACAGGGGUCGCGAUGUAAAUUCCUUCGUUUUCACUUGGCCAGAACAUUUUCAUCAAUGACAUAAUUCGGAACAGAGGGAGUAGUUUCAUGUCGGUAUUGAGAACCAUCGUGUCUCGCUCCUAUCACAAUUAAAUAUUUCUCCUUAACUGUAUUGUUAUCAUAUAUGAAUACACAUGAAAACCUGGAUUACUAUCGACUAA